rnacentral:lncRNA from 1 species
ACUGCAAAGUUUAAUCAUCAAGACAAUAAUUUCCCUAGCUGCAUGCUUGCUUAUAGUUACUGUCUAAUUGAAAUUCUUCUGACAAAGAGUUCAGAAGCAUAGACUACAGAACAUCACCCCUCCUAUUAAAAAGAGCUGUGCUGUGAGAAAAAAACUGGAGGCAGCUCUGUAGAGUGGUGUUCUGGAGGCAGCUUUGUAGAGUGAUGUUCUGGAGGCAGCUCUGUAGAGUGGUGUUCUGGAGGCAGUUCUACGGAGUGGUGUUCUGGAGGCAGCUCUGUAGAGUGGUGUUCUGGAGGCAGCUUUGUAGAGUGAUGUUCAGGAGGCAGCUUUGUAGAGUGGUGUUCUGGAGGCAGCUCUGUAGAGUGAUGUUCUGGAGGCAUCUCUGUAGAGUGGUGUUCUCG